AUUGAACGCUGGCGGCAGGCCUAACACAUGCAAGUCGAGCGGAGCGGCGGACGGGUGAGUAAUGCCUCGGAAUCUGCCUGGUAGUGGGGGAUAACGUCCGGAAACGGGCGCUAAUACCGCAUACUAUCAGAUAAGCCUCGGUGGGAUUAGCUAGUUGGUGGGGUAAAGGCCUACCAAGGCGACGAUCCGUAACUGGUUUGAGAGGAUGAUCAGUCAACCUGGAACAGAGACACGGUCCAGACUCCGACGGGAGGCAGCAGUGGGGAAUAUUGGACAAUGGGGGAAAGUCUGAUCCAGCCAUGCCGGGUGUGUGAAGAAGGUCUUCGGAUUGUAAAGCACUUUAAGUUGGGAGGCGUUACCAACAGAAUAAGCACCGGCUAACUUCGUGCCAGCAGCCGCGGUAAUUC
rnacentral:rRNA from 1 species